rnacentral:tRNA from 1 species
ACCGGGAUCGUCUAACGGCAGGACAUGAGGUUUUGAACCUCAGUAUGUGGGUCCGAAUCCUACUCCCGGUA